CGCUCUCUUUAGACAGGUGAUAUAACAACUUUUAUAAAUUAUUGUAGAUUACUCUCUAGCAAGUAUCUAGAGAGAGAGAGAGAGAGAGAGAGAGAGGUGAUCNNNNNNNNNNNNNNNNNNNNUAUAGAGAGAGAGAGAGAGAGAGAGAGAGAGGUGAUGCCCCACUUGUUCUGCAAAUUAUGACUGAACAGGCAGCCUAAAGAGCAUGUGUCCUGGGCAAUUAGAAUACACCAUUAGAGUCGCCAAAGCUCAUAUUCAAUGCGUUUCUUACGGAGUAUUUGAGAUUUUUUUGGGAGUUUGAAGCUCAAACUUUUUUUAUCUCUGGUUCCUCAUCAUUUGCUGGUCAACAGUUAGAAAUUUAUUCAGAGAAGAACAUAUUAAGUAUCAAUCAAUUGAUAAGAAAUUUCUUCAUAGAAAGAAAUUAAAUGCCAAAGCAAUAAAUCGGAAGAAAUUCAAAUCCCUGGGAUCUCGCGUUUCGCAUUCCAGAUUCGAGGGAUUACAGUAGUGCGUUUUGACUGAGGACACAAAGUCGGUCCACGUUUCAAUGGUGGGAUUGGAAGUUUUGGAUUCUUUAGCAUCCCAAAAAUGCUCCCUCGGGAGCAUAGUUUGUUUCCACUCCCUCGGUGAGAAGACCUCGGAGUUGGGGAGGAUUUUUUCCGAUCUGAAAUUUUG
rnacentral:lncRNA from 1 species